rnacentral:lncRNA from 1 species
UGGCCGAUAAGAGCAAUCAUCUCGAGGAGGGGUAUUAGGGAUAUAUAUCCCACAUCGGGAAUUCUAAGGAAUAUAUAUCCCAUAAUUAAACCCAAUUGGUGAUUAGUGGAUUGACUCUAACCCUUUAUAUAUUACCUAAUGUCCCUUAGAAUUCCCGACGUGGGAUAUAUAUCCCUAAUACCCCUCCUCGAGAUAAUGGCUCUUAUCGGCCAUAAAUUUCGGAACUUUAGGACAUUUAUACUCGGUCGAGCGAGUUUAAC